rnacentral:snoRNA from 1 species
ACGAAACAUAUUAAGGCAUUCUAUUCACUGUACCAUUUACAAAAAUUAUACCAUAAAUGACUAGAGGGGAAAAGAAGAGCUAGAUCAAAGGAACAAUUCAUUUUGUUCCAUUUUUAUUUGGAUAACGUCCUCAUACUGAUUUUCGAGAUUAUUUUAACUCUUAUAUUGGUAACUACGUAGUCCAUACAUCU